UAUAUAUAUUUUUGUAUCUCCAAGCAUUCUGAAACACGAUGUGAAAAUGUAACAUAGACCUGGAGAUGCAAGGCAAAGCCAAUCAUGGCAGUCCUCAAUCUAUCCGAACGAUAAAGAGAGCUCCAGGUCUACAAUAUGUGCACAGUUGGAAAAAUAAAACAACAAGCGUGCACAAUGUCUAGGAAAGACCAGCAACAACCUGUUCAGGUUUAUUUCAAUAAUGAUCCUUCCGCAGGUUCACCUACGGAAA
rnacentral:misc_RNA from 1 species